GAUGAACGCUGGCGGCGUGCCUAAUACAUGCAAGUCGAACGCACAGCGAAAGGUGCUUGCACCUUUCAAGUGAGUGGCGAACGGGUGAGUAACACGUGGAUAACCUACCUCAAGGUUGGGGAUAACAUUUGGAAACAGAUGCUAAUACCGAAUAAAACUUAGUAUCGCAUGAUACCAGGUUAAAAGGCGCUACGGCGUCACCUAGAGAUGGAUCCGCGGUGCAUUAGUUAGUUGGUGGGGUAAAGGCUUACCAAGACAAUGAUGCAUAGCCGAGUUGAGAGACUGAUCGGCCACAUUGGGACUGAGACACGGCCCAAACUCCUACGGGAGGCUGCAGUAGGGAAUCUUCCACAAUGGGCGAAAGCCUGAUGGAGCAACGCCGCGUGUGUGAUGAAGGCUUUCGGGUCGUAAAGCACUGUUGUAUGGGAAGAACAGCUAGAGUAGGGAAUGACUUUAGUUUGACGGUACCAUACCACAAAGGGACGGCUAAAUACGUGCCAGCAGCCGCGGUAAUACGUAUGUCCCGAGCGUUAUCCGGAUUUAUUGGGCGUAAAGCGAGCGCAGACGGUUAAUUAAGUCUGAUGUGAAAGCCCGGAGCUCAACUCCGGAAAGGCAUUGGAAACUGGUUAACUUGAGUGCAGUAGAGGUAAGUGGAACUCCAUGUGUAGCGGUGGAAUGCGUAGAUAUAUGGAAGAACACCAGCGGCGAAGGCGGCUUACUGGACUGUAACUGACGUUGAGGCUCGAAAGUGUGGGUAGCAAACAGGAUUAGAUACCCUGGUAGUCCACACCGUAAACGAUGAACACUAGGUGUUAGGAGGUUUCCGCCUCUUAGUGCCGAAGCUAACGCAUCAAGUGUUCCGCCUGGGGAGUACGACCGCAAGGUUGAAACUCAAAGGAAUUGACUGGGACCCGCACAAGCGGUGGAGCAUGUGGUUUAAUUCGAAGCAACGCGAAGAACCUUACCAGGUCUUGACAUCCUUUGAAGCUUUUAGAGAUAGAAGUGUUCUCUUCGGAGACAAAGUGACAGGUGGUGCAUGGUCGUCGUCAGCUCGUGUCGUGAGAUGUUGGGUUAAGUCCCGCAACGAGCGCAACCCUUAUUGUUAGUUGCCAGCAUUCAGAUGGGCACUCUAGCGAGACUGCCGGUGACAAACCGGAGGAAGGCGGGGACGACGUCAGAUCAUCAUGCCCCUUAUGACCUGGGCUACACACGUGCUACAAUGGCGUAUACAACGAGUUGCCAACCUGUGAAGGUGAGCUAAUCUCUUAAAGUACGUCUCAGUUCGGACUGCAGUCUGCAACUCGACUGCACGAAGUCGGAAUCGCUAGUAAUCGCGGAUCAGCACGCCGCGGUGAAUACGUUCCCGGGUCU
rnacentral:rRNA from 1 species